CUUGGGCUAAUACCGGAUAAGUCCGAGAGGAGAAAGAUUUAUCGCCGAAGGAUCGGCCCGCGUCUGAUUAGCUAGUUGGUGAGGUAACGGCUCACCAAGGCGACGAUCAGUAGCUGGUCUGAGAGGAUGAUCAGCCACACUGGGACUGAGACACGGCCCAGACUCCUACGGGAGGCAGCAGUGGGGAAUAUUGGACAAUGGGCGCAAGCCUGAUCCAGCCAUGCCGCGUGAGUGAUGAAGGCCUUAGGGUUGUAAAGCUCUUUUACCCGGGAAGAUAAUGACGGUACCGGGAGAAUAAGCCCCGGCUAACUUCGUGCCAGCAGCCGCGGUAAUACGAAGGGGGCUAGCGUUGUUCGGAAUCACUGGGCGUAAAGCGCACGUAGGCGGAUCUUUAAGUCAGGGGUGAAAUCCCGAGGCUCAACCUCGGAACUGCCUUUGAUACUGGGG
rnacentral:rRNA from 1 species